rnacentral:lncRNA from 1 species
UUUUUUCAUUAACAACUGACUAUUAUGAAUUUGAGGUUUUAGAAAUAUCAAUUUGAAAAAAUGCAAGUUUCAAACUGUAUUGAAAUAUAUGCGAAAAUAAUCAAAAAGAGUUUAUAGUGUGAUAGUUGGUUAUAUAUGCAGAAUGUUUUAUACUUUGUUAGUAGGAAUAGUUCCGUCCAUAUGUGAAAGUGGUGAGAGGUUUAACAAUUGUUUUAUUAAUUCGUCUAAUUUGUUGCUAUGAGUUCAUGUAGAGAAAUUUUCAAAAUGUCGAGUGAAUUGCUUUAGCACUACCUCAUAUGGCAUAACUUAACUGCAAAAUGAUGUUAGUUAUAAUUUGUUAAAGGGA